GACGAACGCUGGCGGCGUGCUUAACACAUGCAAGUAGAACGGAAAGGCACUGCUUUUGUGGGGUGCUCGAGUGGCGAACGAAUGAGUAACACGUGAGUUACCUGCCCUUGACUUUGGGAUAACUUCAGGAAACUGGGGCUAAUACCGGAUAGGAGCUCCUGCUGCAUGGUGGGGGUUGGAAAGUUUCGGCGGUUGGGGAUGGACUCGCGGCUUAUCAGAGUGUUGGUGGGGUAGUGGCUUACCAAGGCUUUGACGGGUAGCUGGCCUGAGAGGGUGACCGGCCACAUUGGGACUGAUGUACGGCCCAGACUCCUACGGGAGGCAGCAGUGGGGAAUAUUGCACAAUGGGCGGAAGCCUGAUGCAGCAACGCCGCGUGCGGGAUGACGGCCUUCGGGUUGUAAACCGCUUUCGCCUGUGACGAAGCGUGAGUGACGGUAAUGGGUAAAGAAGCACCGGCUAACUACGUG
rnacentral:rRNA from 1 species